rnacentral:rRNA from 1 species
GACGAACGCUGGCGGCGUGCCUAAUACAUGCAAGUCGAACGCACUCUCGUUUAGAUUGAAGGAGCUUGCUCCUGAUUGAUAAACAUUUGAGUGAGUGGCGGACGGGUGAGUAACACGUGGGUAACCUGCCCUAAAGUGGGGGAUAACAUUUGGAAACAGAUGCUAAUACCGCAUAAAACCUAACACCGCAUGGUGUAGGGUUGAAAGAUGGUUUCGGCUAUCACUUUAGGAUGGACCCGCGGUGCAUUAGUUAGUUGGUGAGGUAAAGGCUCACCAAGACCGUGAUGCAUAGCCGACCUGAGAGGGUAAUCGGCCACACUGGGACUGAGACACGGGCCCAGACUCCUACGGGAGCAGCAGUAGGGAAUCUUCCACAAUGGACGAAAGUCUGAUGGAGCAACGCCGCGUGAGUGAAGAAGUUUCGGAUCGUAAAAACUCUGUUGUUGGAGAA